rnacentral:lncRNA from 1 species
CAUGCAGUGGUGUAGAGGUUGGGUGAGAAUGACACGUGUUGCUUCAUUAUCUAAAAGACCCAUCCCCGGCAAAGUCACCUGCAGCAGGAAAGGCCAGUUUGCAUUUCAAUCGAAGGUCAUGGAUAUCAAUACGUAAAAGGUGUCAGGCAUUGGUGUAGAGGUUGGGUGAGAACGGGACGUUUUGCUUCAUUAUCAAGAAGUUGACAGGGAUCAGUGGAGUGAGCAUCUCCGACACGGCAACAACUCCAUAUUUCGUGGUAAUAUCAGUUCGCAAUCACGGGUAAAUAAUCUGUAUUUCUACGUGGAAUUCUGUAUCACUUUCCAUGUAUGUCCGUUAUUGUUGAAUAUUUAAUAUUGUCUAGUUAACUAUGCCGUCGUGCCGCUAUUGGUUGUUGUAUCGUUGAUGGCUGGGUCGACCACUGGUGUACCAAUGUCUCCUGGAUAAGGCGGAUACCAAACCGCAACGCCGCCGCCGCCUUACUACACAACAACAUACGCAACGACCAGUUACUACACCGAGGUUGCACAGUUGGGUUUACAGUUAAACCACCAAGGAUUCAGAUUAUUACACCACAACUUGUGCUGCUCCCCGAGCUACACUACCAAAGCGCGGAGUACUACACCGAGGCUCCUAAGUACUACACCACCGAGGCACCUACUGAAACUACGCAACUACGUAUGCUGCCCCAACCUAUGACACCGAGGCUCCAGCUUAUUACACCACUAAAGCUGUCGAAUACUACACUGGAGCGCCCAAGUACGAUAGAAGUCAGUCAAGUGAGCUUCUCCGACACGCAACACGGCAGCCUCGAAGUUUCGAAUAAUCUUCGUUUCAAACAGUGGAACGACAAAGAGUGAGGAUAACGGUGGCGUAGCAUUCGUACGUGUACACCGCGUCGUUAAACUUGACAUUGUCGGUCGGAAAGCCGAACUUGACGAUGGCCGUGCCAUAAGCCUACGACAAGUGCCUUAUUGCCACAGGUGGUAACAAAAAUCUUAGAGCGGUGCCCUCAAAGAUGUCAACGAGCACGUAAUGCUGUUCCGCAACAUCGAUGGCGGUAACAUAGGCCACCUAAAUAUUUGAGCCAAUCGACUUCCGAGAAGGUGAAAGCGCAAGGUGUCAAUGUGUUGUCCAAAGCUAAUGUUGAGGGUGCAAUUUUGGAAGACUACAAGGUCGCAUUGACCUUAAACGAUGGUCAAAAGAUUUAAACUGGCCAUAACGUCGCUGUUGUCGAUUGAGACGCAAACUUCACGGAUUUGGCUGUCGUUUCUGGUUCGGAAAUAGAUUUCAAUUUUGGUGGUUAUCGAGUCAAUACCGAGCUUGAAGCACGAUCGAACGUCUGGUUGGCUGGAGAUGUUACGUCUUUUUGUGAUAUCAAAUUGGGUCGUCGUCGUACGGAACAUCAUCACUUUGCUGUUGUAUCAGGGCGAUUGCUGGAGAGAACAAUGCUGGCAACGAAACAUGGAUGAACAACUGCAGUGCACUGUCACCAAGUUCAUUCUUCGUCGUAUUAUCAGUACGCAAUCGGUGUCGUGCUGUUGCCGUUUGUCGUAUCGUUGAAGGUUGGGUCGAUCACUGGUGUACUCGUGGCUCCUGGGUAUGGCGGAUACCAAAGCACCACGCCGCCGCCUUGCUACGCAACGACAACAUUCUCACCAACCGGUUACUACACUGAGGACCACAAUUACUACACCACCAAGGCUCCAGAGUAUUACACCGCAGCCAAUGCUGCCCCGAGCUAAAUCACCAAAGUUCCUGAGUACUACACCGAGGCUCCCAAGUACUACACCACUAAGUCACCGGAGUACUACACGUAUGUUGCCCCAGCUUAUACACCGAGGCUCCCAAGUAUUACUCAGUUCCUAGCUACUACACCGAGGCUCCAACUACUUAUUACACCACCAAAGCGGUUGAAUAUACAACGAGCCGACCAAGUACUACACCACCAAGGCUCCAGAGUAUUACACCACAACUCAUGCUUCCCCGAGCCACUACACCGAAGCCCCGAAGUAUUACUCUGCCUCAAGCUACACAGACUUACUACACAGCGGCUGCUGCUCCUUCGUACUACGUUGAACCGGAAUACUACACCGAGGCUUCAGUUAACUACACCACAACCUACGGUACACCUAGCUACUACACCGAGGCACCUAAGUACUACGCUACCAAGGCACCAGUAUUAUACCACUACUCACGCUGCUCCGACCAGCUACACUGAAGCUCCAACAUAUUCUAGUGUUUGGACAAAGGAGUUGUAUAUAGUGUUUGGUUUCUCAUAGAAGUUUAUUUGAAGGGUCUGGAGUUGAUCAGUCACUUGCCCAUAACUUAUGUAAAACUUCAAAGUUGUAAAAAAUAUACAAGUCUUGAACUAAA